rnacentral:rRNA from 1 species
GACGAACGCUGGCAGCGUGCUUAACACAUGCAAGUCGAACGGUAAGGCCCUUCGGGGUACACGAGUGGCGAACGGGUGAGUAACACGUGGGUGAUCUGCCCUGCACUUCGGGAUAAGCCUGGGAAACUGGGUCUAAUACCGGAUAGGACUCCGGAAUGCAUGGUCUGGGGUGGAAAGCUUUUGCGGUGUGGGAUGGGCCCGCGGCCUAUCAGCUUGUUGGGGGGGUGAUGGCCUACCAAGGCGACGACGGGUAGCCGGCCUGAGAGGGUGACCGGCCACACUGGGACUGAGAUACGGCCCAGACUCCUACGGGAGGCAGCAGUGGGGAAUAUUGCACAAUGGGCGCAAGCCUGAUGCAGCGACGCCGCGUGAGGGAUGACGGCCUUCGGGUUGUAAACCUCUUUCAGCAUCGACGAAGCGAAAGUGACGGUAGGUGCAGAAGAAGGACCGGCCGACUACGUGCCAGCAGCCGCCGUAA